GCCGGUGUGAUGGAAUUUGGCAGACGUGCGGCACUCAAAAUGCCGUGUCCUUUGGACGUGUCGGUUCGAGUCCGACCACCGGCACCA
rnacentral:tRNA from 1 species